UGAUGAUAACGGUCUAUACUUCUUUCCCAGUCCGAUUCGACCAUGACGAUAUGGGGUUUACCACG